GGUUGGAUGGCCGAGCGGUCUAAGGCGCUAGAAUCAGGUGUUAAUGGUGUAAAAUUUGACCCAAUCUAGUCCUCCGGGGCGUGGGUUCGAAUCCCACUCCAAUCA